GCCCGCCCCGUUGCCCGCCGCCCGCGACGACAGCAAAUAUCAAACCCCAGCAGGGCCUCCGGGAAGGUUGCGGGCGGCAGUGGUGCCUCCGGCCGCACGCCCAUUCUUGUCUACUGACCCGGUUGCCUCGGCGGGCCGCGCCUGCUGUGCUACAGCGGCCGUUCGGGGGGGACGCCUGAGGGGGACUCUUGUUUCCUAGGCCACGCCCCGGGCAGCGCUCGCCGGAGGAUUACUCUGGAAAACACACUCUUGAAAGAACAUACCGUCUGAGCGAGCAACGCAAAUCAGUUAAAACUUUCAACAACGGAUCUCUUGGUUCCGGCAUCGAUGAAGAACGCAGCGAAAUGCGAUAAGUAAUGUGAAUUGCAGAAUUCCGUGAAUCAUCGAAUCUUUGAACGCACAUUGCGCCCCCUGGCAUUCCGGGGGGCAUGCCUGUUCGAGCGUCAUUUCAACCCCUCAAGCCCGGCUUGUGUGAUGGACGACCGUCCCCCCUCCCCAGUAACCACCCACCGCUUAGGGGGGUGGGAGGGAGGGGGACGCGCCCGAAAAGCAGUGGUCAGGCCGCGAUUCCGGCUCCUGGGCGAAUGGGACAUACCACCGCCUCCAGGACCGGCCGGCAGGCUGGCCUAACGCACCAUGUAUUAUUCAGGUUGACCUCGGAUCAGUAAGGAUACCCGCUGAACUUAAGCAUAUCAUAAAGCCGGAACGAAAGGUUG
rnacentral:rRNA from 1 species